GGUGAAGAAGGCCUUCGGGUUGUAAAGCCCUUUUGUUGGGAAAGAAAUCCAGCCGGCUAAUACCUGGUUGGGAUGACGGUACCCAAAGAAUAAGCACCGGCUAACUUCGUGCCAGCAGCCGCGGUAAUACGAAGGGUGCAAGCGUUACUCGGAAUUACUGGGCGUAAAGCGUGCGUAGGUGGUCGUUUAAGUCCGUUGUGAAAGCCCUGGGCUCAACCUGGGAACUGCAGUGGAUACUGGGCGACUAGAGUGUGGUAGAGGGUAGCGGAAUUCCUGGUGUAGCAGUGAAAUGCGUAGAGAUCAGGAGGAACAUCCAUGGCGAAGGCAGCUACCUGGACCAACACUGACACUGAGGCACGAAAGCGUGGGGAGCAAACAGGAUUAGAUACCCUGGUAGUCCACGCCCUAAACGAUGCGAACUGGAUGUUGGGUGCAAUUUGGCACGCAGUAUCGAAGCUAACGCGUUAAGUUCGCCGCCUGGGGAGUACGGUCGCAAGACUGAAACUCA
rnacentral:rRNA from 1 species